rnacentral:rRNA from 1 species
UUUAAUGAGAGUUUGAUCCUGGCUCAGGACGAACGCUGGCGGCGUGCCUAAUACAUGCAAGUAGAACGCUGAGGUUUGGUGUUUACACUAGACUGAUGAGUUGCGAACGGGUGAGUAACGCGUAGGUAACCUGCCUCAUAGCGGGGGAUAACUAUUGGAAACGAUAGCUAAUACCGCAUAAGAGUAAUUAACACAUGUUAGUUAUUUAAAAGGAGCAAUUGCUUCACUGUGAGAUGGACCUGCGUUGUAUUAGCUAGUUGGUGAGGUAAAGGCUCACCAAGGCGACGAUACAUAGCCGACCUGAGAGGGUGAUCGGCCACACUGGGACUGAGACACGGCCCAGACUCCUACGGGAGGCAGCAGUAGGGAAUCUUCGGCAAUGGACGGAAGUCUGACCGAGCAACGCCGCG